rnacentral:rRNA from 1 species
CCUACGGGGUGCAGCAGUGAGGAAUAUUGGUCAAUGGACGAGAGUCUGAACCAGCCAAGUAGCGUGAAGGAUGACUGCCCUAUGGGUUGUAAACUUCUUUUAUAUGGGAAUAAAAUGUUCCACGUGUGGGAUUUUGUAUGUACCAUAUGAAUAAGGAUCGGCUAACUCCGUGCCAGCAGCCGCGGUAAUACGGAGGAUCCGAGCGUUAUCCGGAUUUAUUGGGUUUAAAGGGAGCGUAGGUGGAUUGUUAAGUCAGUUGUGAAAGUUUGCGGCUCAACCGUAAAAUUGCAGUUGAAACUGGCAGUCUUGAGUACAGUAGAGGUGGGCGGAAUUCGUGGUGUAGCGGUGAAAUGCUUAGAUAUCACGAAGAACUCCGAUUGCGAAGGCAGUUCACUGGACUGCAACUGACACUGAGGCUCGAAAGUGUGGGUAUCAAACAGGAUUAGAUACCCCUGUAGUCC